CGCUGGCGGCGCGCAUAAACAUGCAAGUCGAGCGAGGGCUCAUUUCCCGCAAGGGAGAUGGGUUCCUAGCGGCGAACGGGUGAGUAACACGUGGGCAACCUUUCCUAUCGCGGGGGAUAACAGCGGGAAACCGCUGCUAAUACCGCAUGUCGUCAUCGGUCGCAUGGCCGGUGAAAAAAGCAGCAAUGCACGAUGGGGUGGGCCCGCGGCCUAUCAGCUAGUCGGUGGGGUAACGGCCUACCGAGGCGAUGACGGGUAGCUGGUCUGAGAGGACGACCAGCCACACGGGGACUGAGACACGGCCCCGACUCCUACGGGAGGCAGCAGUGAGGAAUCUUCCGCAAUGGGCGAAAGCCUGACGGAGCGACGCCGCGUGUGGGAUGAAGUCCUUCGGGAUGUAAACCACUGUUGGAGGGGAAGACAACUGACGGUACCCUCCGAGAAAGCCCCGGCUAACUACGUGCCAGCAGCCGCGGUAAUACGUAGGGGGCUAGCGUUAUCCAGAAUUACUGGGCGUAAAGCGCGUGUANGCGGCUGGUUAAGUGUGAUGUGAAAUCUUCGGGCUCAACCCGAAAACUGCAUUGCAAACUG
rnacentral:rRNA from 1 species